GUCCGAGUUCCAAGUCCUGUUGGGGCGCUACAGCAAGCCAGUGCAGACAGUCAGAAUCCUGGAUGUCCUGGACAAAAAGUCACUGAAUGGGUCUGCAGGCGGAGUGGAGGAGGUACAACUCAUACCCCAAACUAGGCUUCAGGACAUCAUCUCCAUCUCCACCUGGCUGAUAGGUGAGGAUGCAGAUCUGACAGCUAAGAGGAGAGUCUCUGCCAGCAAAUUCAAAACACGGUCACUGGAAAGAAACCCAUCCCACCACUCUCUGGGAAAACUGGAGCCCAGCAGCUUUUUCACCAAUAAGUCCUACUGCUCCAAACUUAAAACACAGUCUCUAGGCAGAAAGCCAUCAAUAGAAAACAAGCCAUCAAUGGACUCUCUUGGAAAACUGAAAGCAAACAGCCUGUUCACCAAGAUGAUCGGCCUGAAGUCAUUUGGUAAAUUCAAAACGCUGUCCCUGGACAGAAAGCCAUCACUAGACAAGAAUCCAUCACUAGACUCCCUUGGAAAACUGGAAUCCAGUAGCUCUUUCACCAAGGUAUCCACCUCAAAGCCG
ensembl:lncRNA